rnacentral:rRNA from 3 species
UACGUAGGGCGCAAGCGUUAUCCGGAUUUAUUGGGCGUAAAGAGCUCGUAGGCGGUUUGUCGCGUCUGCCGUGAAAGUCCGAGGCUCAACCUCGGAUCUGCGGUGGGUACGGGCAGACUAGAGUGAUGUAGGGGAGACUGGAAUUCCUGGUGUAGCGGUGAAAUGCGCAGAUAUCAGGAGGAACACCGAUGGCGAAGGCAGGUCUCUGGGCAUUUACUGACGCUGAGGAGCGAAAGCAUGGGGAGCGAACAGG